UAGUUCACAGAAUGUAUCGUUUGAAGACCAAUCUUCUAUCCUCCUACAAGCGGUGCUGGCUAUUGUAGGCUUAUGUAGCAAAGAAUUAUCGACUACUACAGUUAUGGCAAAACAUGCAUGAUAUAUAUUUAUCAGCUGUUUAAGUUGUUUACUAAGCAUAUUGAGAUGAAACUUAAGUAAAAAUAAAGUAUUGUGAUCAUAUCUUGAAUAGAUAAUAAAAACUGUAUAUUAUUAACCAAUACCACUACAGCACUCUGAUUUCUCAUACAUGAGAAGCAAAAUUACUGCAUAAUGACAUAUCA